UACGUAGGGGGCAAGCGUUGUCCGGAAUUAUUGGGCGUAAAGAGCGUGUAGGCGGUCCGGUAAGUCAGCUGUGAAAGUCAAGGGCUCAACCCUUGAAAGCCGGUUGAUACUGUCGGGCUAGAGUCCGGAAGAGGCGAGUGGAAUUCUCGGUGUAGCGGUGAAAUGCGCAGAUAUCGGGAAGAACACCCGUGGCGAAGGCGGUUCUCUGGGACGGUACUGACGCUGAGACGCGAAAGCGUGGGGAGCGAACAGG
rnacentral:rRNA from 1 species